rnacentral:rRNA from 1 species
AGAGUUUGAUCAUGGCUCAGGACGAACGCUGGCGGCGUGGAUUAGGCAUGCAAGUCGCGCGAGAAUCAGCCCUUCGGGGCUGAGGACAGCGGCGAACGGGUGAGUAACACGUGAACAACCUGCCCUCACAUUCCGGACAAUUCACCGAAAGGUGUUGUAAUACGGGCGAGGAUCCCAUCGAGGCAUCUCGAAGGGAAGGAAGGUGCAAGCAUUUAUGUUUGUGCCGUGCGAGGAGGGGUUCGCGGAGCAUCAGGUAGUUGGUGGGGUAACGGCCUACCAAGCCUACGACGCUUAGCUGGUCUGAGAGGAUGGUCAGCCACAUUGGAACUGAGACACUGUCCAGACUCCUACGGGAGGCUGCAGUCGAGAAUCUUGGUCAAUGCACGAAAGUGUGAACCAGCGACGCCGCGUGGAGGAUGAAGGCCCUUGGGUCGUAAACUCCUUUUAGAAGGGAAGAACGCCGCUUAGCGGUCUGACGGUACCUUCUGAAUAAGCCACGGCUAACUACGUGCCAGCAGCCGCGGUAAUACGUAGGUGGCAAGCGUUGUCCGGAUUUACUGGGCGUAAAGGGUGCGCAGGCGGACCUUUAAGUAGAAAGUGAAAGGUUGGAGCUCAACUCCAACAUUGCUUUCUAUACUGGAGGUCUUGAGUGCUGGAGAGGAAAGCGGAACGACACGUGUAGCGGUGAAAUGCGUUGAUAUGUGUCGGAACACCAAUGGCGAAGGCAGCUUUCUGGACAGUUACUGACGCUCAGGCACGAAAGCCAAGGGAGAGAACAGGAUUAGAUACCCUGGUAUUCUUGGCCCUAAACGAUGUUCACUAG